rnacentral:piRNA from 1 species
UGCCAGUGUCUUGUGUAUGAGAAAUACUUC